AAUGACAUUGGGCCCUCUACAAGUAUGGAACACCAGAUGAAGUUGGAUGAAGCCUAACAUUGCCUGCCCUGAAGUCAUCAGUUGAAGCUCUCUUGCCUGAGGAUACCUGAAGUGAAAGUGACUACAGGUUAUGCUUGUGUUUGGUGAAGCCUAACAUUGCCUGCCCUGAAUCAUCAGUUGAAGCUCUCUUGCCUGAGGAUACCUGAAGUGAAAGGGACAGAGUCCCUGUUUCAUACCGGAGAAGGACGGCUUGCAGAGGAACUGAGUAUGGAACAUCAGAUGAAGUGGAUGAAGCCUAACAUUGCCUGCCCUGAAGUCAUCAGUUGAAGCUCUCUUGCCUGAGGAUACCUGAAGUGAAAGGGACAGAGUCCCUGUCUCAUACCGGACAAGGACGGCUUGCAGAGGAACUGAGUAUGGAACAUCAGAUGAAGUUGGAAGAAGCCUAACAUUGCCUGCCCUGAAGUCAUCAGUUCAAGAUCUCUUGCUUGAGGAUACCUGAAGGGAAAGGUAAGAAACACUUGACUUUCCAAAGGAACUCAAAGUGCUCAGGUGUUGAUGGAGCUCGCAGGAGUUCCCAAACUUGAAUCGUGAUCCUUUGGGACCUGGUUCAGGCUCACUGCCUGUGGCUACUCCUGUGAUUGGAGAAUAGGCCCAUUGGUUCGUGGUAAAGGAUGUGAAUGUCUUGAAUUCUGUUCGCUCACCAAACCUGAUCUAUUUUGAGUACACUAAUUCUCAUGUCAGGGGUUACACCAGCGUGCUUGGAUCAAUGAUGAUUUCCAAUAAAACAUUCCUUGGAAAGCUGAACAAAAUGAGUGAAAACUCAAUACUGCCACUAUCAUCGUGACUGAGGUCCAGAACCUGGGGUCACAAAUGUCACUGAGGGACUCACAUGGCCUCCAUUCAACUUGCAAGACUUGGAUCCAGUGAGAGAGCCUUCAGAAUGUUCUUUGCUUGCCUACAUCACCAGAAAUCAUGGCCUAUAUCAAGGCUUCACCUUUUUCUGUAGUCAUAACAUGCUUUCCCAUUGAGGAUAUCAUUGUCAGUAUCUUGGAAGUUAGCCCUACCAACUCCAACCAGCAAUAAUGUACAGUAGGCUGUGAGGCAAAUGUAAGGUUAGCAGGGGCAGCAAGGUUCGACAAUGUACAGUGGAAUGUCAGGAAAGGUGUUUCUGUCCCUGUCUGAAGCUUUCGCAUGAAUGAUAACCCUUCUUUUUCAUAAAACAGAGAUAAGUAACAGGAAGGUUACAGGUGACAUGUGGAAUGAGUCAGUAGCAAUUCUCAGGAACUAUGGGAAUGUGGACUCUUCCUGUGUGAAAACAAAGCUCUGUCUUCUUGAAAGAC
rnacentral:sRNA from 1 species